CAGUGGUUUGUUAACUUUCAGUGGUUUGGUGAAGGGGAGAAGUAUGUAAAGGUUGUUUUCUCACUAGCAAGUAAAAUAGCACCCAGUGUUAUAUUUAUUGAUGAGGUCGAUAGUAUGCUAGGAAGGAGAGAAAAUCCAGGGGAGCAUGAAGCGAUGCGCAAGAUGAAGAA